UGCUUUUUGAGUGGAUUUAACUUGUGUCGGAUCAUGUCGGGAAAAUGAUAUUCCCUCUCUGAUCCUAUUUAUAAGAGAAAAUUGAUUCUUUAGAUUCAUUGAAUAAUCAAUGUAUCUUGUACAUUAUACAGUCUUGAUACAUUGAUUAUUUAAUGAUCCCUCUGGUCCUAUGUAUCAAAGCAAACAAUAAAUUCUAUCAUUUUUUAUGUCAUUAUUUUUCCUUUUUGUAUAUUACAUUUAAUAAUUCAUUAUUUUAUUUUAUU
rnacentral:lncRNA from 1 species